rnacentral:lncRNA from 1 species
GCUCUCCACUUGGCAAAAUAUUAAACAAGAACUGGACCGCACAAGCUGCAGUUGAAUCCCGAGUCAGCAAGGUUCCAUUCUAUUUAAAGGGUACCCAAUUCCGGGGACAAAUAAGCACUUUCUUAUGCAAGGAAAUCGCUCUGCACUUUUUUUUUUUUUUUGAGAGGAAGGGAUUAAACCCAGGGCCUUGUGCAUGCUAGACAAGAACUCUACCACUGAGCUGUAUCUCAGCCCCUACACUUAUGUUUUGUUUUGUUUGAGACAGAGCCUCACUUUGUAGUUCAGGUUGGCCUUGAACUCACUAUGCAGUCCAGACUGGUCUCAAACUCAUGUUGAUCCUACUGCUUCAGCCUCCCAAGUACUGGGAUUACAGGAGUGUCCCCCAUGCCUGGCUCCCACACUUAUUUUAAAAAAGGCAUUCUAGGCUGGGCGUGGUGGUACACACCUAUGAUUCCAGCACUCCGAGACUGAAGCAGGAGGGUCACUGUGAGUUCAAGGCCAGGCUGAACUACAUAGGGUGACCCUGUCUCAAACAAACAAAAAGCCAACAAAUAAAAGAGAAGAAAGUAGUGCGGCUGUGCCAGUGUGUGUUUCUGAGAAACACCCAGUUUCUCCUCUCCCUCUGGUUAUCAGCCAAGCCCCACCCCCAGGCUCCGCCUGUUCUAACCCACGUGGACCCCAUUCCCCACCUUUCAAUCCUAACCUCUUUUUCCUCUUCCUCUUCUUGCCUUGUGGCUGGCCACUCUGCAGCCCCUUCUCUCAGAGCAAGCCGGAGCCUCAGGCCUGCCGGGCAGAGGGAGAUGGUCCCAGCAAGCGCAGCCAGCCUGCAAUCUGCGACUGAGCUACAUCUGAGCAACCAGAGGGAUCAGGAGGAUUGCAAUAAUUUGGACUAACUACUAUCAGCAACCUGCAAUUAUUGGAGUCCUUGGGGAAUCCGCUCCCCUCUGUACUCAAACUUGCUAAUUCUGGACAACCGUUUAACCUUAUGGCCACGUCUUAAAAGAUUAC